rnacentral:rRNA from 1 species
AUUGAACGCUGGCGGCAUGCCUUACACAUGCAAGUCGAACGGCAGCGCGGGAGCAAUCCUGGCGGCGAGUGGCGAACGGGUGAGUAAUAUAUCGGAACGUGCCCAGUAGUGGGGGAUAGCCCGGCGAAAGCCGGAUUAAUACCGCAUACGACCUGAGGGUGAAAGGGGGGGAUCGCAAGACCUCUCGCUAUUGGAGCGGCCGCUAUCAGAUUAGGUAGUUGGUGGGGUAAAGGCUCACCAAGCCAACGAGCUGUAGCUGGUCUGAGAGGACGACCAGCCACACUGGGACUGAGACACGGCCCAGACUCCUACGGGAGGCAGCAGUGGGGAAUUUUGGACAAUGGGCGAAAGCCUGAUCCAGCAAUGCCGCGUGCAGGAAGAAGGCCUUCGGGUUGUAAACUGCUUUUGUACGGAGCGAAAAGGUCUCCUCUAAUACAGGGGGCUCAUGACGGUACCGUAAGAAUAAGCACCGGCUAACUACGUGCCAGCAGCCGCAGUAAUAC